AACGGAGCGGUCUCGUGUGGAUAGACACUAUCCGGAUGACUAUUGCGUGUGGACGGAAGCUUUUUUGCGAUUGCGUUUGCGUUAAUCCUAUGCGUUUAGCCGUUUUCGUCCUCGUGUGGCCGGGGCAUACAUUCUUUGUGUAUGCUUCGAGCUACGAACGGGGUCUCCAACAGAAAUCUGCAGGGGGUUUUCUACAGUAUUUCGCCUUUACAUGUUCGGCAGUGGCACUCUGCUGUUCUCAACGGGACUGAUCAUCCUCAAGCAGACCGACGGAGACGAGACGACGGAGUGUGUUGAAGAGGCCUAUAUGAACAACUACAAUCCCCGGUUCAGGUGGCGACUGGCGCGCUAACGGAGCUCCAGGAGGGAAAACCUUUGCGACGCUGAGGUUCGGCUGAUUUGCAAAGACAUCUGACAUUGCACAGCAACGAAUGAGAAUGUGUCUGGAAGGUCUGCCCUUAUUUGUCCGUGACAGUGCAGAGAAGCUCUUCCUGAAAUGCCUGGACACUGAUCCGGAAGAAAAGCAGACUGCUGGUGUCAAGAUGGGAGUCCUCACUGUUCUCGUAGAUGAUGGUGGACCUACCCCGUCUCAAAUGGUCAACAGUAUUGCUGUUGUCUUGGAAGAGACAAUUGUACUCUCGGAUCUACCAGACAUCCCAACUGCAUUUGUCUACCUUUUUGGUACUCUAUGCCCUGAACAUUGAGUUUCCAAAAGAACACAAGUACACUUUUGAGACUGUUCAGCACAUCUUCAUGGGACUUUCCACCAGUUGCUCACAGCGGAUCAGGAGUUGGAAAACAAAGCUCUUAAUCUAAGUGAGCAUUGGCAAAUUCAAAAACGGAUUCACAAGAUGUCCCCAUUUCAUUUUCCUGCCUUCACCGCUGUUUGUCACUUGAACAUUCAGUUCCCAAAACCCAACUAACUAAACCAACUAACUAACUAAACCAACUAACUAACCCACUAACUAACCCAAAUAACCCAAGUUCUUUAUCUUUACAGAUAAAAUGUUAACUAGUAACAUGAACAUCUUGCUACAUUUUCAAAGACAUGUUCUCACUCUUAACCAGUUAAGCCCUGAGCCUGUUUUUCAGGUUUCAGGCUCGAAAAUGCCACUAACACAACAAAUGAUAUAUCUUCACUUCUAAAAGGG